AUUUACAACUGAAGACUCCAUGAUCACGUGGAUAGUGCUAGGUCAUUAUUUUGUUUGUUGUUGCAGUUGUUUAGAUCAAACCUCAUGUGUCUUGGAAGAAUUUUAUGGAAAUAGUUUAUGACGUAAGACAACUGUUUUCUUGGGGGGCUGUAAUGAUCCAUCAAAACUUUCACAUGCUAAAUUUCACUUUUCAAUUGUAUUUUGGUUUCGAAAUUCAAGGACUCAAAAACUGAAAAAGCUAAACAUAACUAACAAUAUGGAUGCUUUUUCACACAGCAGUAAAUUUUACUUUCUAUACUACACACUUAUUACAUGACUGUGUCUCACAAGGACUGGGAACUACCAAAUUCACGAAUUAGAUCAGCUGAAAUCGAUGUCGACCGCAGUCUUGAUUUUCCCAUCUAGACCGGCAUCUAGACCAAUUACAUCUUGCGGUGAAAAAGUUGCAAACUAAAAUACAAACAUAUUGACUAAUUUCUUCUAAAAAUAUUAGUUCCAGAAAAUAUUCACAUAAUGCAAGUACCAAAAAGCCUGAUAAAAAAAAAAAAAGGGAAAGAGGAUGAGCAAGCUUUGGCAGAUUUAAGUUCAGCUCGUCACCAUUAGUAAGCAAAAUUUCAGCUAGAACAAACCAGUUAUAUUAAACAAAUUAAAUUUUUCUUGUUUGCAAUAUAAUAAGCAUCUCAUUAACCGAGCUUAGUUGGUCUAUUUGGGAGAAUCUUGACCUCAGUCAUGUGUACAGACCAAACACUGUACUCAUGGCUUCGGUCAACAUUCUCCCAUACAGACCUCCUGCUUGGUCAAUAAGAGCUAAAUCCUCAGGGCAACACAAUCUCUGUUAAGAAAAAAA